GGUGGCGAUAGCGAAGAGGUCACACCCGUUCCCAUACCGAACACGGAAGUUAAGCUCUUUAGCGCCAAUGGUAGUUGGGACUUUGUCCCUGUGAGAGUAGGACGUUGCCAGGC
rnacentral:rRNA from 2 species